rnacentral:rRNA from 1 species
AUACAGAGGUGGCGAGCGUUGUUCGGAUUUACUGGGCGUAAAGGGCGCGUAGGAGGCCAUGUGUGUCGACCGUGAAAUCUCCGGGCUCAACCCGGAAAGUGCGGUCGAAACUGCGUGGCUCGAGCGGGGGAUGGGAAAGCGGAACUCAGGGGGUAGCGGUGAAAUGCGUUGAUAUCCUGAAGAACACCGGUGGCGAAGGCGGCUUUCUGGAACCCGACUGACUCUGAGGCGCGAAAGUGGGGGGAGCAAACAGGAUUAGAUACCCUGGUAGUCCCCACUGUAAACGGUGUGCACUAGACGUGGGGGGCUUCACCCCCUCCGUGUCCCAGCCAACGUGAUAAGUGCACCGCCUGGGGAGUACGGCCGCAAGGCUAAAACUCAAAGGAAUUGACGGGG